rnacentral:antisense_RNA from 1 species
CUUCAGCGAGCCCAGCCAGAGCGGCCCGGCCUCCGCCCUGCCCUGGCCGUAGGUGUUGAGCAGGGCCUGCGCCUC